AGUGGCGAACGGGUGAGUAAUACAUCGGAACGUACCUUAUCGUGGGGGAUAACGCAGCGAAAGCUGUGCUAAUACCGCAUACGCCCUGAGGGGGAAAGCGGGGGAUCGAAGGACCUCGCGCGAUUAGAGCGGCCGAUGCCUGAUUAGCUUGUUGGUGGGGUAAAAGCCCACCAGGGCGACGAUCAGUAGCUGGUCUGAGAGGACGAUCAGCCACACUGGGACUGAGACACGGCCCUGACUCCUACGGGAGGCAGCAGUGGGGAAUUUUGGACAAUGGGGGAAACCCUGAUCCAGCAAUGCCGCGUGAGUGAAGAAGGCCUUCGGGUUGUAAAGCUCUUUUGUCAGGGAAGAAACACCGGCUCUAACACAGUCCGGGAAUGACGGUACCUGAAGAAUAAGCACCGGCUAACUACGUGCCAGCAGCCGCGGUAAUACGUAGGGUGCGAGCGUUAAUCGGAAUUACUGGGCGUAAAGCGUGCGCAGGCGGUUAUACAAGACAGGCGUGAAAUCCCCGGGCUUAACCUGGGAAUGGCGCCUGUGACUGUAUAGCUAGAGUGUGUCAGAGGGGGGUAGAAUUCCGCGUGUAGCAGUGAAAUGCGUAGAUAUGUGGAGGAAUACCAAUGGCGAAGGCAGCCCCCUGGGAUAACACUGACGCUCAUGCACGAAAGCGUGGGGAGCAAACAGGAUUAGAUACCCUGGU
rnacentral:rRNA from 1 species